GAUGAACGCUAGCUACAGGCUUAACACAUGCAAGUCGAGGGGCAUCAGGAAGAAAGCUUGCUUUCUUUGCUGGCGACCGGCGCACGGGUGAGUAACACGUAUCCAACCUGCCCCUUACUCGGGGAUAGCCUUUCGAAAGAAAGAUUAAUACCCGAUAGCAUAAUGAUUCCGCAUGGUUUCAUUAUUAAAGGAUUCCGGUAAAGGAUGGGGAUGCGUUCCAUUAGGUUGUUGGUGAGGUAACGGCCCACCAAGCCUUCGAUGGAUAGGGGUUCUGAGAGGAAGGUCCCCCACAUUGGAACUGAGACACGGUCCAAACUCCUACGGGAGGCAGCAGUGAGGAAUAUUGGUCAAUGGGCGUUAGCCUGAACCAGCCAAGUAGCGUGAAGGAUGAAGGCUCUAUGGGUCGUAAACUUCUUUUAUAUAAGAAUAAAGUGCAGUAUGUAUACUGUUUUGUAUGUAUUAUAUGAAUAAGGAUCGGCUAACUCCGUGCCAGCAGCCGCGGUAAUACGGAGGAUCCGAGCGUUAUCCGGAUUUAUUGGGUUUAAAGGGAGCGUAGGUGGACUGGUAAGUCAGUUGUGAAAGUUUGCGGCUCAACCGUAAAAUUGCAGUUGAUACUGUCAGUCUUGAGUACAGUAGAGGUGGGCGGAAUUCGUGGUGUAGCGGUGAAAUGCUUAGAUAUCACGAAGAACUCCGAUUGC
rnacentral:rRNA from 1 species